UGGGGAAUUUUGGACAAUGGGCGCAAGCCUGAUCCAGCCAUGCCGCGUGAGUGAAGAAGGCCUUCGGGUUGUAAAGCUCUUUCGGCCGGGAAGAAAUCGUGUUCUCUAACAUAGGACAUGGAUGACGGUACCGGACUAAGAAGCACCGGCUAACUACGUGCCAGCAGCCGCGGUAAUACGUAGGGUGCGAGCGUUAAUCGGAAUUACUGGGCGUAAAGCGUGCGCAGGCGGUUUUGUAAGACAGAUGUGAAAUCCCCGGGCUUAACCUGGGAACUGCGUUUGUGACUGCAAGGCUAGAGUACGGCAGAGGGGGGUGGAAUUCCUGGUGUAGCAGUGAAAUGCGUAGAGAUCAGGAGGAACACCGAUGGCGAAGGCAGCCCCCUGGGCCUGUACUGACGCUCAUGCACGAAAGCGUGGGGAGCAAACAGG
rnacentral:rRNA from 1 species